GUCUCCAUGGGAUGGGUAUUAGACCAUCUCUGAUCCCAGUUUCAUUCUAGAGCAGCAGACUCAACUCUCGAGCACCUCAAGAAGAGGGUCCUGACGUGGCAGAUCCUUCCAGAGCUUCUCCAAUCAUAUAAAAUUUUACAGCUCUAAAUAUCCAACCAGUGGCGGCGAUUGCAGCAGCAAUUAUACAUUAGCAUAGCAUAGGCGAUGGGGAUAAUAAGGAGCUGUUUCUCCUUCAUAGUAGGCACUGUGUGCGGGGUUUACAUUGCUCAAAACUAUGACGUUCCCAAUAUCAAGAAGCUCGCCACCUCUGGCCUCUUCAUGGCCAAGCUCAUUGAAGAGAAGUACCGCAAGCCCAAGAGCAAGAAAGACGAGGAUUAGCUCCGUAAUUAUCAACAGACAACAGGUUCCCAACUUAUAAUUAAUUAAUUUUCUAGAAGGAAUUAUUCCAUCAUAAUCGAUUUAUAAUUUUGCUGUAGGAGAAAACACAUACACUAUCAAAUUGUAGUUUUUAUUUGCGAAAUUUUUU
rnacentral:misc_RNA from 1 species